rnacentral:ncRNA from 1 species
CAGGUCUGUGGUUGAAAAUCGAAGCCAGUCGCAGGCGAAGCGAUCCACUUAAGAUGUCCGAAGGACAUUGAGCAUGGUGCGGUUUAGAGGUAAGUCCUGCCGAGAAAAUCGAGAGGGUUAGUAGUGAGAGGAAUUCCGGGUAGCAAAAACUCCAGCAGGCGGGUGUGGGGGCAAAAACCAGGUCAGCUGU